rnacentral:SRP_RNA from 1 species
UCGUGGGUCCCGUGCGAUGUGGCCCGUGAAACCCGUCAGGUCCGGAAGGAAGCAGCGGUAAGCGAUCAACCAUAUGUGCCGCGGGGAAGCCUGCCUCGG